CAAGGUGGUGUUGGGUCAAAGGCUGGACUCGAUGAUCUUGGAGGUCUUUUCCAACCUAGCUGAUUCUGUGACCUCAAUCACACCAGGUCCCCCCAAGUCACCAGAUGGGACUGUUUGUUUUCGUCUCCUACCCAUGCCCACGCAGGGACGGACCCUUAGGGGCUGCCCGCCCUCACCCCUCAGACAGUCUGCUCCCCGCAGGGGUCUGUCUGCCCACUCUGAGGGAAAUCAGGCAUCUGCUAAAAGAACUGUUUGUAAUGAAUAUUGUGUUGUUUUCAUAGAUCAACAUCCCGGAAGAGCUUUUACUCUUCCCAGGUUUUGCCCAGGUCUGGAAAACAGUUUGUAUUUGUGUGAUGGGCCUGGAAUAAAAGGGGAGGUUAAGUGUGAUCUCCCGGCUCCUCUCUGGCAGCCUGGUAUUCGUUUCAUGUGUUGCCCAAAAUUCCACUGACUUCCACAAGAAGUCAGGAACAAACCAACACCACCCCCAUUUUUCACACAGAAUUACACAAUCAGUUAGGUUGGAAAAGACCUCCGAGAUCAUCAAGUCCAACCUGUGACCAAACCCCACCUUGUCAAGUAGACCAUGGUACUAACUUUCUUCCAUGCCAUGAGCUAUGUCAGUCCACUACCAGCAGCAGCCUGUUACAGAAACAAUUCACAUCAAGAUAUUGAGAAUGAGGAUACAACAUCACCUAGUAGGACAAAGAGGCUAUGGAAACAAACAUGGACUAAUCCAGUGGCAUGCAGAUGUGAUGGAAGGACAUCCUGGUCACUCUGCAGCAGCUUUACCUGAGUAUGGGUUUCUUUCUAAUAUAGAUGUGAUUUGCGUU